GUGGCGCACGGGUGAGUAAUGUAUAGGUAAUAUGCCUCUUGCUAAGGGAUAACAAAUGGAAACGUUUGCUAAUACCUUAUACUCCUUAUUAACCUAAGUUAAUAAGGGAAAGAUUUAUUGGUAAGAGAUUAGCCUGUAUUGUAUCAGUUAGUUGGUGGGGUAAUGGCCUACCAAGACUAUGACACAUAACUGGUUUGAGAGGAUGAUCAGUCACACUGGAACUGAGACACGGUCCAGACUCCUACGGGAGGCAGCAGUGGGGAAUAUUGCACAAUGGACGAAAGUCUGAUGCAGCAACGCCGCGUGGAGGAUGACACAUUUCGGUGCGUAAACUCCUUUUAUAUGAGAAGAUAAUGACGGUAUUAUAUGAAUAAGCACCGGCUAACUCCGUGCCAGCAGCCGCGGUAAUACGGGGGGUGCAAGCGUUACUCGGAAUCACUGGGCGUAAAGAGCAUGUAGGCGGAUUAAUAAGUUUGAAGUGAAAUCCUAUA
rnacentral:rRNA from 1 species